rnacentral:rRNA from 1 species
AUUGAACGCUGGCGGAAUGCUUUACACAUGCAAGUCGAACGGCAGCACGGACUUCGGUCUGGUGGCGGGUGGCGAACGGGUGAGUAAUAUAUCGGAACGUGCCCAGUCGUGGGGGAUAACGUAGCGAAAGCUACGCUAAUACCGCAUACGAUCUACGGAUGAAAGCGGGGGAUCGCAAGACCUCGCGCGAUUGGAGCGGCCGAUAUCAGAUUAGGUAGUUGGUGAGGUAAAGGCUCACCAAGCCGACGAUCUGUAGCUGGUCUGAGAGGACGACCAGCCACACUGGGACUGAGACACGGCCCAGACUCCUACGGGAGGCAGCAGUGGGGAAUUUUGGACAAUGGACGCAAGUCUGAUCCAGCCAUUCCGCGUGCAGGACGAAGGCCUUCGGGUUGUAAACUGCUUUUGUACAGAACGAAAAGGUCUCUAUUAAUACUAGGGGCUCAUGACGGUACUGUAAGAAUAAGCACCGGCUAACUACGUGCCAGCCGCCGCCGUAA